ACCCGGGAUGUUGAACCACUCUGCUAAGAAGGAGCUCCAGAGGGAAUAUGUUUUCACCCCAGCCUCAUAAAGGAUGUUCUCAGGAGUCAUGGUGGUAUUGAGCUCACUGGCUAGCUGGGACCAUGGAAGGGAUUUCCUGCUGUGAUAAAGCAUGCUGCCAUGAAAAAGGCCUCUAAAACACGGAGAUCUCCAGAGGUUCACCAUCCAGUCAAGUUCUACACCUAUUUCCCAGUGUGACUGAGGCACAGGGCAGUGCAAUUACAGGACAGGACUUGAUCCACUCCUUGUACUCAAACAUUACAUGGGUGUGUACUGAGGUUUCCUACUGUAAUACACACUUUUUCUUUUACUUACUGUUAGUACAUGUUUG